CGGACUGUGCCAAAAAGAUAGUUUUUCCUAGGACGGUGAGGUCCUGCGUCAAAACUCCUAUUUUGGCUGUGUCCG
rnacentral:ncRNA from 1 species